ACAUCCAUCGUAUAAGGGUUAGUAUACAUGCUUUCCACGCUUGGGAUAGGGGUUCGAGUCCCCUUGGAUGUA